rnacentral:rRNA from 1 species
UACGUAGGGUGCAAGCGUUGUCCGGAAUUAUUGGGCGUAAAGAGCUCGUAGGCGGUUUGUCGCGUCUGCUGUGAAAACUCGGGGCUUAACCCCGGGCCUGCAGUGGGUACGGGCAGACUAGAGUGCGGUAGGGGAGACUGGAAUUCCUGGUGUAGCGGUGAAAUGCGCAGAUAUCAGGAGGAACAUCGGUGGCGAAGGCGGGUCUCUGGGCCGUAACUGACGCUGAGGAGCGAAAGCGUGGGGAGCGAACAGG